rnacentral:lncRNA from 1 species
AGAACCGUCAAGAAAAUAUAUAUCCAGAGCUGCAGAGUUAAUAACCAUGGACUAACGUUCCGCUUGGUGCCCUCACAGCCAGAGAGCCUUGGUUUCUGAUGUGUGUGAUAUUAUCAUGACCGUAGGGAUGUUGCAAGGCAGGGGAGUUGAGAGGGCAAGGUUUGGAUGGGCAGAAUGGAGAGGGCUAGGGCUGAAUAAGAAGCUUUAAACCCCCAGGAGAGAUAGUAGGAGUCAGAGCCUGUUUGAUCGGAUUAUUUUGGAAAAAAAGAAAAUUGUCUGUGUGUUUGUGUGUGUGUACUUAGAUUUGGAGACCUCACAGCAGACUAAAGCCCAGGGAUACUUGCUCAAGUCCCUCUGCCUGAGAGUUCUGUUCACAGCUGGGGAGGACCAGAGCCAGGCCAUGUGUCCCACCAUCCACCACUGCACCAUUUUCCCCAAAUUACUGAAAUCAUCUCCUCUCACUCUUGUCUUUCCAUUCUGUGCUCACACUCCUCAAAGUGUUCUUUAGGAAACACACAUCACUUGUGUCGCCUCCUUGCAUGAAACUCCCUGGCUCUCACAGUUCAUGCCAGCCUUUCCCAUGGCUUCUGAGCCUCCUGCUUCCUGGCCCCAUCUCCCGCUCUGGCUCCCACCUGCCACUGAUGAGUUCAGCCACGCCGUCCUUUUGGAUCCAGUUGUUCAUCUGGAAUCAAACUCGGGACCUUGUGCUUGCGAGGCAGGUGGCGGAACCACUGAAUUAAAUCGCCGGCCCAGAGGAGUCUGUAUCUUUAACCACCUGAGUGACUCUGCCUGGCCAGAAGUUCAUCUGGCUGUCCUUUAAGGUCCUUGGGCAGAAGAGAUAAACCAAGCACCAGGAAACUCCCAACUCAAGACAAAGCACAAAGGGAUACUGGGGACCCCUGAAACAUUACUGGAAACCUCUGCAGUAGGCUCCAAUCUCCUGCCCAGUGUAUGAACCAGGCCUGAGAGGAAAAAAAAAAAACUAAACGAAUAAGAGAGACAGAAAUCAGGGCACCAGGACAACCAAUGCCAGUGCAACCAACAAAGGCACUGGCCAGUCCAAACACUGAUUUUUAUUGGUAAUCAAUUGGGGUAAAGGCAUGCCAUGUGCAAGGGCGGCACUACAUGUGAAGAUGCACAGUCGUGGGGUUUCUAUGGAAAUUAAUGCAAGCAAGCCUUGUAAAGGACAAGACAAAGCCUUCUCAAAUUAGGAACAGAAUAGACAAAAUAUAUGGUUGUAAUUAAAACAUUCCUUCUAGUUAGAAGGUUUUAGUUGUGGGAACAGAAUUUGGG